UAACGAAUAUUGGGCGAUGGGCGAAAGCCUGACCCAGCAAUGCCGCGUGCAGGACGAAGUCCUUCGGGAUGUAAACUGCUGCCAGGGGUCCGCAAGCGAAGGGGUCCAACAGGCCCUGGAGUUGAGCAGCCCCAGAGGAAGCCUCGACUAACUCUGUGCCAGCAGUCGCGGUAAGACGUAGGGUGCGAGCGUUAAUCGGAAUUACUGGGCGUAAAGCGUGCGCAGGCGGUUAUAUAAGACAGAUGUGAAAUCCCCGGGCUCAACCUGGGAACUGCGUUUGUGACUGUAUGACUAGAGUACGGCAGAGGGAGGUGGAAUUCCGCGUGUAGCAGUGAAAUGCGUAGAUAUGCGGAGGAACACCGAUGGCGAAGGCAGCCUCCUGGGCCAGUACUGACGCUCAUGCACGAAGGCGUGGGGAGCAAACA
rnacentral:rRNA from 1 species